rnacentral:tRNA from 12 species
GGUAAGGCACCCGGUCUUCAAAACCCUUGAUGGCAGGCAAUUGCC